GCCGAAGUGGUGGAAUUGGUAGACACGCUAUCUUGAGGGGGUAGUGGCUUAACAGUCGUGCCGGUUCAAGUCCGGCCUUCGGCACCA
rnacentral:tRNA from 1 species